GCGGGACAGAAGGAUGGAGUGAUGGAGGGACAGAUGGAUGGAGUGAUGGAGGGACAGAGGGAUGGAGUGAUGGAGGACAAGAGAGAUGGAGUGAUGGAGGGACAGAGGGAUGGAGUGAUGGAGGGACAGAGGGAUGGAGUGAUGGAGGACUAGAGGGAUGGAGUGAUGGAGGGACAGAGGGAUGGAGUGAUGGAGGACUAGAGGGAUAGAGUGAUGGAGGGACAGAGGGAUGGAGUGAUGGAGGACUAGAGGGAUGGAGUGAUGGAGGGACAGAGGGACAGAGUGAUGGCGGGACAGAUGGAUGGACACAGGCUGCACAUUCCUCCUCCCCCUCUUCCUCCUCCUUUCCCUGCCUGCUACUGUAGUUGAAUGCUGUUAGAGCUAUUAUUAUUAUAGCCAUUAUUAUACAUCAUCAUGGUGUCUAUUAUCAGCAUGAUGAUUCAUGUUAAUGGGAUGACCA
ensembl:lncRNA